GCGCAGCAGUCGAGAAACCUCCGCAAUGCGGGAAACCGUGACGGGGUCACCCCGAGUGCCACCCGCUGAGGGUGGCUUUUCCCCGGUCUAAAGAGCCGGGGGAAUAAGCGGGGGGCAAGACUGGUGUCAGCCGCCGCGGUAAUACCAGCCCCGCGAGUGGUCGGGACGUUUAUUGGGCCUAAAGCGUCCGUAGCCGGCCCGGUAAUUCCCUCCUUAAAGCCCACGGCUCAACCGUGGGAACGGAGGGAUAAUGCCGGGCUAGGGGGCGGGAGAGGCCGGGGGUACUCCCGGGGUAGGGGCGAAAUCCUGUAAUCCCGGGAGGACCGCCAGUGGCGAAGGCGCCCGGCUGGAACGCGCCCGACGGUGGGGACGAAAGCUGGGGGAGCAAA
rnacentral:rRNA from 1 species